rnacentral:rRNA from 1 species
UACAGAGGUCCCGAGCGUUGUUCGGAUUUAUUGGGCGUAAAGGGUGCGUAGGUGGCCAAGUAAGUUGGAUGUGAAAUCCUGGGGCUCAACCUCAGAAUUGCAUUCAAUACUGCUUAGCUAGAGAGCUGUAGAGGAGACUGGAAUUUACGGUGUAGCAGUGAAAUGCGUAGAUAUCGUAAGGAACGCCAGUGGCGAAAGCGAGUCUCUGGGCAGCAUCUGACACUGAGGCACGAAGGCCAGGGGAGCAAACGGG